UGGGGAAUAUUGGACAAUGGGCGAAAGCCUGAUCCAGCCAUGCCGCGUGUGUGAAGAAGGUCUUCGGAUUGUAAAGCACUUUAAGUUGGGAGGAAGGGCAGUAAGCGAAUACCUUGCUGUUUUGACGUUACCGACAGAAUAAGCACCGGCUAACUCUGUGCCAGCAGCCGCUGUAAUACAGAGGGUGCAAGCGUUAAUCGGAAUUACUGUGCGUAAAGCGCGCGUAGGUGGUUCGUUAAGUUGAAUGUGAAAGCCCCGGGCUCAACCUGGGAACUGCAUCCAAAACUGGCGAGCUAGAGUAGGGCAGAGGGUGGUGGAAUUUCCUGUGUAGCGGUGAAAUGCGUAGAUAUAGGAAGGAACACCAGUGGCGAAGGCGACCACCUGGGCUCAUACUGACACUGAGGUGCGAAAGCGUGGGGAGCAAACAGG
rnacentral:rRNA from 1 species